GCUGCACUAGAGAAAUGGUAACUCGCCGGCCUCCUACGGAACUUCGUAAGCCGGAGAUUCUGGGUUCGAGUCCCAGGUGCAGUG